CAAUAGCGUACAUUAAAGUUGUUGCAGUUAAAAAGCUCGUAGUUGGAUUUCUGGUGUCGCAGUGCUUCCGCGUGUUUAAUUACAUGUUGAGUUGUGUUUGCGUCGCCAUCUUUUAGCAGCACCUUCCUGGCAUUAGGUUGUUGGGUUGGUAAUGCUAAUCGUUUACUGUGAAGAAAUUAGAGUGUUCAAAGCAGGCUUAUGCCGUUGAAUACGUUAGCAUGGAAUAAUAAGAUAGGACUUUGGCGUCUAUUUUGUUGGUUUGCACACCAAGGUAAUGAUUAAUAGGGAUAGUUGGGGGUAUUCGUAUUUAAUUGUCAGAGGUGAAAUUCUUGGAUUUAUGAAAGACGAACUUCUGCGAAAGCAUUUACCAAAGAUGUUUUCAUUAAUCAAGAACGAAAGUUAGGGGAUCGAAGACGAUCAGAUACCGU
rnacentral:rRNA from 1 species